UCGGGCAUCGUCUAAUGGUAGGACGGCGGAUUCUGGUUCCGCUAAUCAAGGUUCGAAUCCUUGUGCCCGAG
rnacentral:tRNA from 1 species